GUUAGGAAUAUUGGACAAUGGGCGCAAGCCUGAUCCAGCCAUGCCGCGUGAGUGAUGAAGGCCUUCGGGUUGUAAAGCUCUUUAGCCGAUGAUUAUAAUGACUGUAGUCGGAAAAUAAGCCCCGGCUAACUUCGUGCCAGCAGCCGCGGUAAUACGAAGGGGGCGAGCGUUAUUCGGAAUCACUGGGCGUAAAGCGUGCGUAGGCGGCUUUGCAAGUUGGGAGUGAAAGCCCAGGGCUCAACCCUGGAAUUGCUCUCAAAACUGCAAGGCUCGAAUUCGGGAGAGGAUAGCGGAAUUGUCAGUGUAGCAGUGAAAUGCGUAGAUAUUGACAGGAACACCAGUGGCGUAAGCGGCUAUCUGGACCGAUAUUGAUGCUGAGGCACGAAAGCGUGGGGAUCAAACAGGAUUAGAAACCCGGGUAGUCC
rnacentral:rRNA from 1 species